GAUGAACGCUGGCGGCGUGCCUAAUACAUGCAAGUCGAGCGAACAGAUGAGGAGCUUGCUCCUCUGACGUUAGCGGCGGACGGGUGAGUAACACGUGGAUAACCUACCUAUAAGACUGGGAUAACUUCGGGAAACCGGAGCUAAUACCGGAUAAUAUAUUGAACCGCAUGGUUCAAUAGUGAAAGACGGUUUUGCUGUCACUUAUAGAUGGAUCCGCGCCACAUUAGCUAGUUGGUAAGGUAACGGCUUACCAAGGCAACGAUGCGUAGCCGACCUGAGAGGGAGAUCGGCCACACUGGAACUGAGACACGGUCCAGACACCUACGGGAGGCAGCAGUAGGGAAUCUUCCGCAAUGGGCGAAAGCCUGACGGAGCAACGCCGCGUGAGUGAUGAAGGUCUUCGGAUCGUAAAACUCUGUUAUUAGGGAAGAACAAAUGUGUAAGUAACUAUGCACGUCUUGACGGUACCUAAUCAGAAAGCCACGGCUAACUACGUG
rnacentral:rRNA from 1 species